AUUGAACGCUGGCGGCAUGCCUAACACAUGCAAGUCGAACGAGUGGCGGACGGGUGAGUAAUGUAUGGGAAACUGCCCGAUGGAGGGGGAUAACUACUGGAAACGGUAGCUAAUACCGCAUACCAUCGGAUGUGCCCAGAUGGGAUUAGCUAGUUGGUGGGGUAAAGGCUCACCAAGGCGACGAUCCCUAGCUGGUAUGAGAGGAUGACCAGCCACACUGGAACUGAGACACGGUCCAGACUCCUACGGGAGGCAGCAGUGGGGAAUAUUGGACAAUGGGAGCAAGCCGGAUGCAGCCAUGCCGCGUGUAUGAAGAAGGCCUUCGGGUUGUAAAGUACUUUCAGCAGGGAGGCGUUACACGCAGAAUAAGCACCGGCUAACUCCGUGCCAGCAGCCGCGGUAAUAC
rnacentral:rRNA from 1 species